GAUGAACGCUAGCGGCAGGCCUAAUACAUGCAAGUCGAACGGUGUAGCAAUACACAGUGGCGCACGGGUGCGUAACACGUAUGCAACCUACCUUACAUUGGGGGAUAGCCUUUCGAAAGGGAGAUUAAUACCGCAUAAGACAGUAACUAGGCAUCUAGUAGCUGUUAAAGAUUUAUCGAUGUAAGAUGGGCAUGCGUCCAAUUAGUUAGUUGGCGAGGUAAUGGCUCAGCAAGACGAUGAUUGGUAGGGGAACUGAGAGGUCAAUCCCCCACACUGGCACUGAGAUACGGGCCAGACUCCUACGGGAGGCAGCAGUAGGGAAUAUUGGGCAAUGGGCGCAAGCCUGACCCAGCCAUGCCGCGUGCAGGAAGAUGGCGUUAUGCGUUGUAAACUGCCUUUAUACAGGAAGAAACGACCCUUGCGAGGGGCAUUGACGGUACUGUAUGAAUAAGCACCGGCUAACUCCGUGCCAGCAGCCGCGGUAACAC
rnacentral:rRNA from 1 species